GAUGAACCACUUCGGUGGGGAUUAGUGGCGAACGGGUGAGUAACACGUGGGCAAUCUGCCCUGCACUCUGGGACAAGCCCUGGAAACGGGGUCUAAUACCGGAUAUGACCUUCUUGGGCAUCCUUGGGGGUGGAAAGCUCCGGCGGUGCAGGAUGAGCCCGCGGCCUAUCAGCUUGUUGGUGAGGUAACGGCUCACCAAGGCGACGACGGGUAGCCGGCCUGAGAGGGCGACCGGCCACACUGGGACUGAGACACGGCCCAGACUCCUACGGGAGGCAGCAGUGGGGAAUAUUGCACAAUGGGCGCAAGCCUGAUGCAGCGACGCCGCGUGAGGGAUGACGGCCUUCGGGUUGUAAACCUCUUUCAGCAGGGAAGAAGCGAAAGUGACGGUACCUGCAGAAGAAGCGCCGGCUAACUACGUGCCAGCAGCCGCGGUAAUACGUAGGGCGCAAGCGUUGUCCGGAAUUAUUGGGCGUAAAGAGCUCGUAGGCGGCUUGUCGCGUCGGUUGUGAAAGCCCGGGGCUUAACCCCGGGUCUGCAGUCGAUACGGGCAGGCUAGAGUUCGGUAGGGGAGAUCGGAAUUCCUGGUGUAGCGGUGAAAUGCGCAGAUAUCAGGAGGAACACCGGUGGCGAAGGCGGAUCUCUGGGCCGAUACUGACGCUGAGGAGCGAAAGCGUGGGGAGCGAACAGGAUUAGAUACCCUGGUAGUCCACGCCGUAAACGGUGGGCACUAGGUGUGGGCAACAUUCCACGUUGUCCGUGCCGCAGCUAACGCAUUAAGUGCCCCGCCUGGGGAGUAC
rnacentral:rRNA from 1 species